UAUAUACAAAAGUGUCGUGAUAUGUUGGCUCGCGUCAUUUGAAAUUUAAAUGUGCCGUUUAAUUAAAUUUCAAAUGACGCGAGCCAACAUAUCACGACACUUUUGUAUAU
rnacentral:miRNA from 1 species